CAUGCUAUUUUUCUCAAAAGAAAACACUAGAUUACUACCCGUCGGACACGCAUCGGAAAUAGGUCUUCUCUUUUUGCCUAUCGUUUUCUCACGGUCUUCCACCGAACGAUCAGCACCUCCUUCCUUUCUACCCUUUUCCCCUUUCACCUUCUUGUGUCCCUGCGUAGCAGAUUUAGUGGCAUUGAAAAUAAAAGAUGAGCCAGGCUCCCCAAAAUCCCCCUUGGCAUCUUCCAUGCCGGCCGCCGCGACAUGCGCUUGUCGUCGCUAGCUCGCCACCGCAAUAUGCGCUCCUCUUUCUUCUCUCCAAGAUCCAGCCGCGUACCACUCCACCACAACAGAACUUAACGGGAUUAGCGGGAAGGAAGGACAAAUGGAACCCCAGCCAUGCAUGCAUGCGAGCUCCGACGGAUUUGUGGGCGAUAUGUUUGAAUCUCCAAGAAGCUUCAACGAGGGGCGCUGGUGCAUGCGUUCGGGUUGAAUCUCCAAGAAGCUUCACCGACUUCCCAUUGUUCAGAUCUCGAGAGACCGUAAGUUCAAUUACCACUGAGCAUCCAAAAUGGAUACAAGAUCAGAACAUGGACAAUCACCAUGCGAGUAAACCCUUUUUGUUCCUUGUGAAGUAUUACCUUUCAAUUAUUGAAACAUCAAGUUUCUUGAUGAUUCCAUUCUCUGCAAUUUCCAUUAGACAAGUGGGCUAGGUCCAAAGAUCGGGGAACAAUAUGGCGCUCUAUUUGAGGAAGAGGAAUUGAAUAGACACAAAGAGUGUAUAUUUACUUUUCUUCGAUCAGGACGUUCAGCUCUGCCUCCGCAAGCCGUUCACCCCUGCCACAGGAGGCCGUUCGACGAUGCAGCGCUAUCAUGUUGUGUUUUUUCAGUACAUGUUUUGUGUGCUUUUCAGUUCACCUACUUGAUGAUUCUAUGUCCAAUUUCCCCCCCGUUUAUGUGUUCUUCCUAUAGUAAACUAGGUGUUUGUGUUGUGCCUUAAUAAGCAUUACCUUGUAUGGAUCAAAACUACCAUAUGUUCUUGUAAAUGAAGCUCUGCUUCUGUUUUGUUUGAAGUUA